CCUACGGAGGCUGCAGUGGGGAAUAUUGGACAAUGGGCGAAAGCCUGAUCCAGCCAUGCCGCGUGUGUGAAGUAGGCCUUCGGGUUGUAAAGCACUUUCAGUGGGGAAGAAAGCCUUGGGGCUAAUACCCUCGAGGAAGGACAUCACCCACAGAAGAAGCACCGGCUAACUCCGUGCCAGCAGCCGCGGUAAUACGGAGGGUGCGAGCGUUAAUCGGAAUUACUGGGCGUAAAGCGCGCGUAGGCGGUCUGAUAAGCCGGUUGUGAAAGCCCCGGGCUCAACCUGGGAACGGCAUCCGGAACUGUCAGGCUAGAGUGCAGGAGAGGAAGGUAGAAUUCCCGGUGUAGCGGUGAAAUGCGUAGAGAUCGGGAGGAAUACCAGUGGCGAAGGCGGCCUUCUGGACUGACACUGACGCUGAGGUGCGAAAGCGUGGGUAGCAAACAGGAUUAGAUACCCUUGUAGUC
rnacentral:rRNA from 1 species